UACGUAGGGAGCAAGCGUUGUCCGGAAUCAUUGGGCGUAAAGCGCGCGUAGGCGGCCCUGUAAGUCCGUUGUGAAAGUCAAAGGCUCAACCUUUGAAAGCCGAUGGAUACUGCAGGGCUAGAGUCCGGAAGAGGCGAGUGGAAUUCCUGGUGUAGCGGUGGAAUGCGCAGAUAUCAGGAGGAACACCAAUUGCGAAGGCAGCUCGCUGGGACGUUACUGACGCUGAGACGCGAAAGCGUGGGGAGCGAACAGG
rnacentral:rRNA from 1 species